AUUGAACGCUGGCGGCAGGCCUAACACAUGCAAGUCGAGCGGAGCGGCGGACGGGUGAGUAAUGCCUAGGAAUCUGCCUGGUAGUGGGGGAUAACGUCCGGAAACGGGCGCUAAUACCGCAUACUAUCAGAUUAGCCUAGGUCGGAUUAGCUAGUUGGUGGGGUAAAGGCCUACCAAGGCGACGAUCCGUACCUGGUCUGAGAGUAUGAUCAGUCACACUGGAACUGGGAAAGGGUCAAGAUUCCUAGGGGAGGCAGAAGUGGGGAAUAUUGGAAAUGGGGCGAAAGCCUGAUCCAGCCAUGCCGGGUGUGUGAAGAAGGUUUUCGGAUUGUAAAGCACUUUAAGUUGGGAGGCGUUACCAACAGAAUAAGCACCGGCUAACUUCGUGCCAGCAGCGCGGUAAUAC
rnacentral:rRNA from 1 species